rnacentral:rRNA from 1 species
AUUGAACGCUGGCGGCAGGCCUAACACAUGCAAGUCGAACGUGUGGCGGACGUGUGAGUGAUUCAUGGAAAAAUGCCCGGUUGAGGGGGAUCACUACUGGAAACGGUAGCUAAUACCGCAUACAAUCGGAUGUGCCCAGGUGGGAUUAGCUAGUAGGUGGGGUAACGGCUCACCUAGGCGACGAUCCCUAGCUGGUUUGAGAGGAUGACCAGCCACACUGGAACUGAGACACGGUCCAGACUCCUACGGGAGGAAGCAGUGGGGAAUAUUCCACAAUGGGCGCAAGCCUGAUGCAGCCAGGCCGCGUGUAUGAAGAAGGCCUUCGGGUUGUAAAGUUCUUUCAGCGAUGAGGCGUUACUCGCAGAAGAAGCACCGGCUAACUCCGUGCCAGCAGCCGCGGUAAUAC